GUCUAUGGCCAUGCUACCCUGAUCAAGCUGGAUCCCAUUUCAUCUCGGAAGCUAAGCAGGGUCUAGCCUGGUUAGUACUUGGAUGGGAGACCACCUAGGAAGACCAGGUGCUGUAGGCA
ensembl:rRNA 5S_rRNA 5S ribosomal RNA